GUACUCGAGCUACUUCACAAGCCUCGAUGGCAUGCUACGGGAUGAAUGAAGCCAUGAAGAAGAAGAAGAAGAUGCAUGAUUAAGAAAGGCGAUCGAAGAGCUCCCUUCGAUCCAAUCCAGGAGGGGAAGUGGUCGGUUGCAGCUGCCGGUUCAUGGAUACCUCUCUGGUGCAGCAAUGGCCGCUGCUCACCUCUGCACUUGCAUGGGUGUGCAUGACCCGGGAGAUGAGCCCGCCAUCAUCUUUCCCUCGUGCUUGGAUUGAAGGGAGCUCCUCUCUGUCUGUCUGUCUGUCUCUCUCUCUCCCUUUCCUUCCCGUGGCGGUCUACUGAUAAUUUCUCGUCAUUUCUAUCUCUUACUUGCAGUUGCAUUGCAGACAUGGAUAUGCAUGCUAUUGCCUCCCAAGCGCCGGGAAACUUUAAUCUGGAUAAUUGGAUUCAUGCAUAAAUGAACCAGUAUGUAUAUAUAUACGUGUGUAUCACGUUUCAGGACAAGCCUGAUGUACAAUUUUGCUCUAUCUUUUUACUGUUUCAAUAACUUUUACAGAUUGUUCGUUUCAAUUAAAUAAAUAAUUAUAUAACAAGUUUUU